UGGUGGAGUGAUUUGUCUGGUUAAUUCCGUUAACGAACGAGACCUCAGCCUGCUUUUGUAGUUCCGAUUAUCUCCGGAUAGUUCUUGGAACUUCUUAGAGGGACUAUGUGUUUUCGCACAUGGAAGUUUGAGGCAAUAACA
rnacentral:rRNA from 1 species